UUGACCUCGGAUCAGGUGGG
rnacentral:rRNA from 3 species